GUGAGAAGAUGCGGUGAAAGAGAGGAAACAAAGUGUGGAGGAAAGCAGGCUUUGGGAUAAAGCAGAUGUGGCUUUGAAUCCUGGUAGUUUCCUGUCUACGUGACCUUUGAUGAGAGAGCAUGUGUCAGGUAGACGGACAACUCAGGAAGAAGAGCAGCAUCUUCCAAGAUCUCCCGGAAGUAGAGACCAUUCACUCCUCUCCUGUGGACCCUCACUCACCCGCCCUGAUCUCAUGGCUCAGUGAAUGGCUGCAUCGCCUACUCCACUGUGCAGGAUUUAUAAACCCU
ensembl:lncRNA